rnacentral:lncRNA from 1 species
UCUUGGGUGACUCUCAGGUGCAGUUUGGAAAGCAGCCGGCAUCAUAAGGAAGCCCGAAAGCCAGGGCCCACCAACGAUCUUUGUUAUUUGUUUGUUUGUUUGUUUUGUUUUUGUUUGUUUUUUGUUUUUUUAUUUUUUUUUUUGAUACAGGGUCUCAUUUUUGUUGUCCAGGCUAGAGUGAGUGCCGUGGCGUCAGCCUAGCUCACAGCAACCUCACACUCCUGGGCUCAAGCGAUCCUCCUGCCUCAGCCUCCCGAGUAGCUGGGACUACAGGCAUGCGCCACCAUGCCCGGCUAAUUUUUUUUCUCUCUCUCUCUCUCUAUAUAUAUAUUAGUUGGCCAAUUAAUUUCUUUCUAUUUAUAGUAGAGAUGGGGUCUCGCUCUUGCUCAGGCUGGUUUCGAACUCCUGACCUAGAGCAAUCCGCCCGCCUCGGCCUCCCAGAGAGCUAGGAUUACAGGCGUGAGCCACCGCGCCUGGCCUAUCUUUGUUAUUUCUAUUUUACUUUUGAAACCAAGCAGCAACAGAAACCAAGAAAGCCAGCAUUGAAGCGUCGCUGGACAAACUGGUUAAGCCAUCUAGGGUUUGUAAUGGAGCCGAGACUGGUGAGUCCAAGCCGGUUGGAAACCUCUUCUGUAGACACCCCUGGCUGCCCUGCUGCUUUCGUCUACCUCAGACCCCCAUGACGGGCUCUGCCCUGGGACAACAGCCAAACCCAUUAUCCAUGGCCCGUAGAAGCCUCACUGGAGUCUGGGGCCUGCUGAGGUGGGGACAAGAUGGCUUUCUGUAGAGUUACACUUACAUUCUUUGGACCAGCCCCCGUUGAUUUCCCAAGUUCUGAGUCAAUGCGUGUCAGUGCUGGUAAGGUGCUCAGUGUGGAAGCAUCAGUUCUUGUGUGUAUUAGAGCGAGUGCUUUCCCUCCCAUGCUGAUGUGAUUCUCAAUUAGGAAUCCUGGACCCGAGUUAUUUUUGGCCAAUGCUCAAGUUUAAAAUUAUAUUAAAAUUUGUAUUUGGUCCCCUGCAAAAAAAAAAAAACAAAAACAACAACAACAGAGAAACGUUCAGCGUCGUUCCAUCGGCGCCGUCCCUGCUGCACGCUCCGGCGGUUGUGGUCGGGGCUGCUAAGGUGCCUCAGAGAGCAGAAAACCCACCUGCUGUAAAAAUGCCCCUGUGUCGCCCUAAUCGCUGUGUUUCCCGGGUGCACUGCUGUGAAGACGCCCCAGAGAAAGCGGCGAGAACACUCAGUGGACGUUCCGUGCAGAGGCGGCAAUCCUGUGAGCAACCAAUGGAGUUGGAUAGGAUUGGGAAGAAGAAAGACGAGUGGAUCCUGGAGACUCUCCGCCCCUGA